ACCCAGGCGGGGGCCCAUGGACCCUAGUGAGUACCCCCUGCAGGCCUGGGGAGGGGGGUCCCCCCACAGAGACCCCGGCCUCUACCCCAGCCCCCCGCAGCCCACCUACCACCACCCGCACCUCCACCCGGCGUACCCCUCCAGAGACGGAUACCCCCAGCAGGGGGGCGACCCGCGCCAGGCCGACCCAGGGUACUACCCUCCUCCCCCCGUCCAGCCGAGGGGCCCCCUGAGGCAGGACGUGCCCCCCUCCCCCCCGUGCCCGUGCGCGCCCCCCGGUACGACACCCUCAACCGGGGCCCGCCGGGCGGGGGCGGGGGCGGGGGCGGGGGCUACAGGCAGGCCAGCCCGGAGCGCUACGCCUACGGAGACCCUCGGCAGACGAGUGCCAUGACCGCCGCCGUGUAGUGGAGCUCCAGCCAACCAAACCAAACCAGACAACACGGUUGAUGAUGUGUGUCUGUGUGUGUGUGUGUGUGUGUGUGUGUGUGUGUGUGUAUAUGUAAACCUAAGCAUGUUCAUUCAUAUCUGUGUGUGCUCAGGAAUGUGCCUUGUGUGCUUGCAGGUGUGUAUAACAGGAGAACGUGUAUGUGUGUGUGUGUGUGUGUGUGUGCAUGCAUGCAUGUGUGUUUAUGUGACCAAACUCAACACAUGUACAGUGUGUGUGUGUGUGUGUGUGUGUGUGUGUGUGUGUGUGUGUGUGUGUGUGAGAGAGAG
ensembl:lncRNA